ACAGUGGACGCGAGCAUCUGUGGCCAAGUUUUUAAGGGCGCACGGUGGAUGCCUUGGCACCAGGAACCGAUGAAGGACGUGGGAGGCCACGAUAGUCCCCGGGGAGUCGUCAACCAGGCUUUGAUCCGGGGGUUUCCGAAUGGGGAAACCCGGCAGUCGUCAUGGGCUGUCACCCAUACCUGAACACAUAGGGUAUGUGGAGGGAACGCGGGGAAGUGAAACAUCUCAGUACCCGCAGGAAGAGAAAACAACCGUGAUUCCGGGAGUAGUGGCGAGCGAAACCGGAUGAGGCCAAACCGUAUGCGUGUGAGACCCGGCAGGGGUUGCGCAUACGGGGUUGUGGGAUCUCUCUUUCACAGUCUGCCGGCUGUGAGACGAGUCAGAAACCGUUGAUGUAGGCGAAGGACAUGCGAAAGGUCCGGCGUAGAGGGUAAGACCCCCGUAGUCGAAACAUCAGCGGCUCGUUUGAGAGACACCCAAGUAGCACGGGGCCCGAGAAAUCCCGUGUGAAUCUGGCGGGACCACCCGCUAAGCCUAAAUAUUCCCUGGUGACCGAUAGCGGAUAGUACCGUGAGGGAAUGGUGAAAAGUACCGCGGGAGCGGAGUGAAAUAGUACCUGAAACCGUGUGCCUACAAGCCGUGGGAGCGUCGCGCAUUGAGUUUACUCAAUGCGUCGUGACUGCGUGCCUUUUGAAGAAUGAGCCUGCGAGUUUGCGGUGUGUUGCGAGGUUAACCCGUGUGGGGAAGCCGUAGCGAAAGCGAGUCCGAAUAGGGCGAUUCAGUAGCACGCUCAAGACCCGAAGCGGAGUGAUCUAGCCAUGGGCAGGUUGAAGCGGAGGUAAGACUUCGUGGAGGACCGAACCCACCAGGGUUGAAAACCUGGGGGAUGACCUGUGGUUAGGGGUGAAAGGCCAAUCAAACUCCGUGAUAGCUGGUUCUCCCCGAAAUGCAUUUAGGUGCAGCGUCGUGUGUUUCUUGCCGGAGGUAGAGCACUGGAUAGGCGAUGGGCCCUACCGGGUUACUGACCUUAGCCAAACUCCGAAUGCCGGUAAGUGAGAGCGCGGCAGUGAGACUGUGGGGGAUAAGCUCCAUGGUCGAGAGGGAAACAGCCCAGAGCAUCGACUAAGGCCCCUAAGCGUACGCUAAGUGGGAAAGGAUGUGGAGUCGCAGAGACAACCAGGAGGUUGGCUUAGAAGCAGCCACCCUUGAAAGAGUGCGUAAUAGCUCACUGGUCUAGUGAUUCCGCGCCGACAAUGUAGCGGGGCUCAAGCGUACCGCCGAAGUCGUGUCAUUGCAGCAAUAGGGCCAACGCCUGCUGUGAUGGGUAGGGGAGCGUCGUGUGCCGGGUGAAGCUGCAGCGGAAGCUAGUGGUGGACGGUUCACGAGUGAGAAUGCAGGCAUGAGUAGCGAUACACACGUGGGAAACGUGUGCGCCGAUUGACUAAGGGUUCCUGGGUCAAGCUGAUCUGCCCAGGGUAAGUCGGGACCUAAGGCGAGGCCGACAGGCGUAGUCGAUGGAUAACCGGUUGAUAUUCCGGUACCCGCUGUGAAGCGUCAAACAUCGAACCAGGCGAUGCUAAGUCCGUGAAGCCGUUCCGGACCCUUCGGGGAAAGGAAAGUGGUGGAGCCGACGGACCAGACUUGUAGUAGGUGAGUGAUGGGGUGACGCAGGAAGGUAGUCCAGCCCGGGCGGUGGUUGUCCCGGGGUAAGGGUGUAG
rnacentral:rRNA from 1 species